ACAGAUGGACAGAUGGAUGGACAGUUCUUUCUGCAAGAGCUGUGGUGGCUCAGUGGUUAGAAUGCAGUAUUGCAGGCUAAUUCUGCUGACUGCCAGUAGUUCAACCCUCACCAAAUCAAGGUUGACUCAGCCUUCCAUACUUCCGAGUUCACAGGAGUCUUAGAUACACCUUUGAAGAAAGGAUGGAACAGGAAGCAAAAUCGGAGGGGUUCGUUAUUCCUGGUGCUUAGAUGUCCCGCAAACACGUCACACCCGAAUUCACGGACCUUAAUGGCACGCAAGACAUGUGGUUUAGGCUCAAAGGAGGCUCUCCACACCGCAGGUGCUGAAACAAACUUUCAUGGCCAAAUGCCAAAAUAAAGAUUAACAUGGAUGAC